UCAUCUUGCAGCGGAGGGUGGAAACGUUGGAGGGUUGUUUGCAGGCGCUUGUAUUAAUCAUCCGGGCUAACACACCAUUAACGUCCUCCUGCAUUUUAAAGAUGACAAAUUUUAUUUGACUUCUCUCAAUCACGGUUCCCGGGCGGAUUCGGGAGCCACUUAAAUGCCUCGGAUUUUCCAUCGUUAGCUGUUACAAGCCCUGCACGGCACAGGCCACUUACAGCCACAUCCAGCUGGGAGCUGUCACCUCGAGCCCCGCACCAGAGUCACCUCCAGCUGCCAAGCCAGUUCUGCUCUCAGAGGCCUCGGGGGACGGUGGCAAAAACCCUUGGGAAACUGAGGCAGAGUCUGCUUCAAGGAGAGCUGCAGAGAGCUCUCUGUCUGGGGGAUUCUUUUCCUCCUGGCAAUGUGAGGAGCGAGAGAACCUGCAGAAGUGAACGGAAUCAAGCUGCACUGCUGGGCUGCUUAAUUCUGCACCAGCACCACAGGAGCAACUCCCAGUGAGGUACAUCUGUCAGAGCCCCGUGGAAGGAGCAGGAGGAAUUGGGGGUGAACACAGGGCUGUGCCUGGAUGUUCCUGUUCCCAGCAGCAAACCACAGCAUCUCCUCUGCCCACACCCCUCCUGUGCCGCCCCUGUGGCGACACACAGGAUGACUGCAACCAUUGCCCCUCAAGAAAUACCAUCUAUUUAUGGCCAAACAGCCACUGUCUUGCGUGGAUAAAUCAAAAGGAAAACAAAGCUUUACGGAAAAAAGUAUUAAAUUUUCCGUGUGCUCCUGAAGGGACGGGCCAGGCGCUCACUGUUUAUUUUUUGGGCUCUCUCUUUGCUAGUACUGUAAGUGACAUUGUGUUUACAAAAGUUUUUAUGUCAUCAGAGCAAAGUCACAGCUCAGCUUCCUCUCCUGUGUAUUUUAUGUAGAUGGAUGUGUCUGUGAGGAACAUUCAAACUAAACAGAAAGCUGGUUUAUAGGAAAAUGUAUUUAUUUGAAAAAUCGUAACUCACAAUUUUGGCAAAACCGGGUUCCACAUUUAUUGCUGCUAAUGGGGUGUGGCGGCCAUAAAUUAACCUGGAAAAUUGCUGCAGCCAUUUCAACAAUGGCUCAUUGUGCUGAUGGAGCAGCAGCUCCUCAAAGAUGGCUCAUGUCAAUUGGCGAUUAGGUUUGGAUGCAAACAACAGGUAAAGGGAAGGUAACAGCAGCCUCACCACUGGAACCAGCCCCAAAAUCAUUGCUCUAGGCUGGCAUGGGUGCCCUGAGUCUCACUUAAAGCAGAGCUGUUCCCUCAUCUGAUUGCCAUGGAAGUCAGUGGAAGGAGGCUCCA